rnacentral:ncRNA from 2 species
UUGAAGAAUUGAGGAAUUCUGUGAAACUCAGAAUCUGUGCCGCAACGGUUAUAGACCGGAACUCAACUUCUC